rnacentral:tRNA from 1 species
GCCGGGGUGGCGGAACUGGUAGACGCGCCGGAUUCAAAAUCCGGUUUCCGAAAGGAAGUGUGGGUUCGAUUCCCAUCCCCGGUACCA